GGCAGCAUAAUUACUUGUAAUUUGAUGGCGACCGGCGAACGGGUGCGUAACGCGUAUGCAACUUACCUUUUACUAGAGAAUAGCCAAGAGAAAUUUUGAUUAAUGCUCUAUGUUCUUGUUUACUCGCAUGGGUAAAUAAGCAAAGCUCCGGCGGUAAAAGAUAGGCAUGCGUCCUAUUAGCUUGUAGGUGAGGUAAUGGCUCACCUAAGCUCCGAUAGGUAGGGGUCCUGAGAGGGAGAUCCCCCACACUGGUACUGAGACACGGACCAGACUUCUACGGAAGGCAGCAGUAAGGAAUAUUGGACAAUGGAGGCAACUCUGAUCCAGCCAUGCCGCGUGAAGGAAGACGGCCUUAUGGGUUGUAAACUUCUUUUAUACAGGAAGAAACCUUUCCACGUGUGGAAAGCUGACGGUACUGUAAGAAUAAGGAUCGGCUAACUCCGUGCCAGCAGCCGCGGUAAUACGGAGGAUCCAAGCGUUAUCCGGAAUUAUUGGGUUUAAAGGGUCCGCAGGCUGUUUGUUAAGUCAGAGGUGAAAUCCUACCGCUCAACGGUAGAACUGCCUUUGAUACUGGCAAACUUGAGUUAUUGUGAAGUAGUUAGAAUGUGUAGUGUAGCGGUGAAAUGCAUAGAUAUUACACAGAAUACCGAUUGCGACAGCAGAUUACUAACAAUAU
rnacentral:rRNA from 1 species